GCGCGAAAACUUUGCAAUGCGGGAAACCGUGACAAGGGAACUCUGAGUGCCCGUUAAAUCGGGCUGUCCAUCGGUUUAAAUAACCGGUGAAGAAAGGGCCGGGCAAGACCGGUGCCAGCCGCCGCGGUAAUACCGGCGGCUCGAGUGGUGGCCACUAUUACUGGGCUUAAAGCGUUCGUAGCUGGUUUGUUAAGUCUCUGGGGAAAUCUUCCGGCUUAACCGGAAGGCGUUUCAGGGAUACUGGCAGACUAGGGACCGGGAGAGGUGAGAGGUACUCCAGGGGUAGGAGUGAAAUCCUGUAAUCCUUGGGGGACCACCUGUGGCGAAGGCGUCUCACCAGAACGGCUCCGACAGUGAGGGACGAAAGCUGGGGGAGCAAACCGGAUUAGAAACCCCGGUA
rnacentral:rRNA from 1 species